rnacentral:rRNA from 1 species
CCUACGGGUGGCAGCAGUGAGGAAUAUUGGUCAAUGGCCGGAAGGCUGAACCAGCCAUGCCGCGUGAAGGUCAGUGCCCUAUGGGCGUUAAACUUCUUUUGUGCGGGAGCAAUAAUGGUCACGUGUGGCCAGACGAGAGUACCGUACGAAUAAGCAUCGGCUAACUCCGUGCCAGCAGCCGCGGUAAUACGGAGGAUGCGAGCGUUAUCCGGAUUUAUUGGGUUUAAAGGGUGCGUAGGUGGUUAAUUAAGUCAGCGGUGAAAGUUUGUGGCUCAACCAUAAAAUUGCCGUUGAAACUGGUUGACUUGAGUAUAUUUGAGGUAGGCGGAAUGCGUGGUGUAGCGGUGAAAUGCAUAGAUAUCACGCAGAACUCCGAUUGCGAAGGCAGCUUACUAAACUAUAACUGACACUGAAGCACGAAAGCGUGGGGAUCAAACAGGAUUAGAUACCCUUGUAGUC